GGUAGCGUAGCUCAGUUGGUAGAGCACUAUCUUGACAUGGUAGGGGUCGCUGGUUCGAGUCCAGUCGCAACCACCA
rnacentral:tRNA from 1 species